rnacentral:rRNA from 1 species
AGAGUUUGAUCAUGGCUCAGGAUGAACGCUAGCGGCAGGCCUAACACAUGCAAGUCGAGGGGUAGAGUUCUUCGGAACUUGAGACCGGCGCACGGGUGCGUAACGCGUAUGCAAUCUACCUUAUACAGGGGAAUAGCCCAGAGAAAUUUGGAUUAAUGCCCCAUAGUGUUAUCGAAUCGCAUGGUUUGAUAACUAAAGUUCCAACGGUAUAAGAUGAGCAUGCGUCCCAUUAGUUAGUUGGUAAGGUAACGGCUUACCAAGACAAUGAUGGGUAGGGGUCCUGAGAGGGAGAUCCCCCACACUGGUACUGAGACACGGACCAGACUCCUACGGGAGGCAGCAGUGAGGAAUAUUGGUCAAUGGGCGCAAGCCUGAACCAGCCAUGCCGCGUGCAGGAAGAAGCAUCUAUGGUGUGUAAACUGCUUUUAUACAGGAAGAAACACCCCCACGUGUGGGGGCUUGACGGUACUGUAGGAAUAAGGAUCGGCUAACUCCGUGCCAGCAGCCGCGGUAAUACGGAGGAUCCAAGCGUUAUCCGGAAUC